GAAAUGCGAUAAGUAAUGUGAAUUGCAGAAUUUUGUGAAUCAUCGAAUCUUUGAACGCACAUUGCACUCCCUGGUAUUCCGGGGAGUACGUCUGUUCGAGCGUCAUUACACCAAUCAAGCCUCGCUUGGUAUUGGAGGAUGUGAUUUUCCUUACUCGAAGAUUGCACCUCUCGAAUUCUUUUCGGCUGGUCAAUAAAUCUUACCUACAGCGUUGUGGAAACAUAUCUCGCUUUACUGGUCUGAUUGAUUGAAACGCCGUUAAACAAUCUCCAUACUCAAGGUUGACCUCGGAUCAGAUGAGAAUACCCGCUGAACUUAA
rnacentral:misc_RNA from 1 species